UUUUAGGUUAGGAAAAAGCUUUAAUAAUUGGGUUUGUUAUAUUUAGAAGUCGGGAAGUUGUAUGAAACCAAUAGGAUUAUAGUGGGAGAGAAAUGUUUUAUUCACAGUUUAUAUUGGCUAAGAAAGGUCCCUUGGGGACAAUAUGGAUAGCAGCACAUCUGGAGAGGAAGCUCCGGAAGAACAGGUGGCGGAUACUGACAUCGGUGUUUCUGUUGGUUAGUACUUUUUAGUUCCUUACUUGUUAGCUUGAUAUCUCUGAAUUUAAAUUUCACAUUUAUCUUGGUUUACUUAUAUUAAUUUAUUCAUUUCCUCUUAGUGAUGCAAUAUCCAAAUCUUCUUAAGGUUAGUUCGCUCUAGAAUGUUUUAGAU